ACUAUGAUUAUGCCUAAUGGUUAGAGCGUCCGCCUCGAGUGCGGGAGGUCGUUAGUUCGAACCCUGGCAGAGUCAUAGCA